rnacentral:rRNA from 1 species
AUUGAACGCUGGCGGCAGGCCUAACACAUGCAAGUCGAGCGGUAGCACAGAGAGCUUGCUCUCGGGUGACGAGCGGCGGACGGGUGAGUAAUGUCUGGGAAACUGCCUGAUGGAGGGGGAUAACUACUGGAAACGGUAGCUAAUACCGCAUAACGUCGCAAGACCAAAGAGGGGGACCUUCGGGCCUCUUGCCAUCAGAUGUGCCCAGAUGGGAUUAGCUAGUAGGUGGGGUAACGGCUCACCUAGGCGACGAUCCCUAGCUGGUCUGAGAGGAUGGCCAGCCAUACGGGAACUGAGAACCGGGCCAGACGCCUACGGGAGGCAGCAGUGGGGAAUAGUGCACGAUGGGCGCAAGCCUGAUGCAGGCAUGCCGCGUGUAUGAAGAAGGCCUUCGGGUUGUAAAGUACUUUCAGCGGGGAGGAAGGCGAUAAGGUUAAUAACCUUGUCGAUUGACGUUACCCGCAGAAGAAGCACCGGCUAACUCCGUGCCAGCCGCCGCGGUAA